AUACGGAGGGUGCAAGCGUUACUCGGAAUCACUGGGCGUAAAGCGCGCGCAGGCGGUCUUUUAAGUUGGAUGUGAAAGCCUACGGCUCAACCGUAGAACUGCAUCCAAAACUAUUAGACUAGAGUGUGGGAGAGGAAGAUGGAAUUAGUUGUGUAGGGGUAAAAUCCGUAGAGAUAACUAGGAAUACCAAAAGCGGAGGCAAUCUUCUGGAACACUACUGACGCUGAGGCGCGAAAGCGUGGGGAGCAAACAGGAUUAGAUACCCGGGUAGUCC
rnacentral:rRNA from 1 species